CAUUUUCAAAACUGUGCACUCUCCUCAAACAAUAGCAUGGUAUUCUUUCACUGUAAUAGUGAUUGUAAAUUGGACAGUGCAGUUAGAUUAACAAGAAUUUAAGCUUUCUGCCAAUAUCAGAUAUGUCUAUGUCCUGGGAAAUGUUCUUGUUACUUACAACCUCAUGCUAAUCGCAUUAGCCUACAUUAGCUCAACUGCCCCACAGCGGACCCACCAAUCCUGAAGAAGUUUUAAGGCCUUAGUUUGAUUGCCAAGUUUAACCCUAACACAGUGGUGUCUGUAUCUCUUGACAAGGGAUCUCAGUGUUGGGAUAAGGACAUUAAACUAGUGAUUACAAGUCUUUAUUGCCACAUGCUCUUAUGUAAGCAUUUACAAAGACUUCAGAUCUGGCAGCGGACAUGCUCAAACUUUAAUUAACAUAAACAUAGAACACCAACACUUAGAGCCCUUGUCAAGAGAUAUGGACCUCUUGGUGUAAUGUUUAAAAAUACUGUAUGAGGAGUUAUGCAUAACACCAUUGGUGUAAACUAUAUACACUUCCUAGUGUUAAAAAUACUAUAUGAGGUGUUAUUGCAUAACAUUGAAAGUGUUAAAUCCCAAUCACUGGUAAAGUAUAACAGCGUCAGCACUACGCACAGUGUUAAAUUAAUACUGAAAAGUGUGGACCAAUAUAGUCACUGACCCAGUAUUAAAUAUAACUCUGUCAGUGUUGAUGUAACAUUGGAGAAUUUGCUGUGUGCAGAUUAUAUCUGCUUUUACUCACUUUGAAAUGUCCACCUUGAGAAUACUUUCUCAAAGGCACUGUGCGCUAGAGGUUUUAUUCUGUGACAAAUGAAAUCAAAUGGAAUCAAAUCUACUUCUCAGAUCAUGUUCUCUCCACUCUCCAAAAGGACAAGAGCAGUCACAAGAAGGAAAAAACACAACCCCCCAAAAAACAUUCUAUGUUCUUCAGCAUCAAAGGUCCCAUUGGAGGUAGAGGCCCCAACAUAAGAGAAACAAGACAAGGGGAAGGCAGGUAGCAAUGAGUAAAUAAAAGUCUAGCUAUUGUGCUGCAUUAUUUUGUUGGAGAAGAUGAGCUGUCACUGUCUGCUGCUACUACACCAGUGUAUAUUAAUGUGGUGUUGCGAGAACAGUUCAAAUAUAAUGGACAAAAAUAUAAACACAACAUGCAACAAUUUCAAAG
rnacentral:lncRNA from 1 species